UCCCGCUUAGCUCAGUUGGUAGAGCGCGUCACUAGUAUUAUCACCUGAUACAAAAAUGGCAGGUCACGUGAAAUCACGUGAUGACGAGGUCGGUCGUUCGAGUCGGCCAGUGGGAA
rnacentral:tRNA from 1 species